GCCGGGAUGGUCGAGUGGUAAGGCGCAGGCCUGGAGUAGAGCUAUAUUAAAGGUUGUUUCCGUCUCCAGGUAGCCUGUGGGGAUUAUCCCCUCAAGGGUUCAAAUCCCUUUCCCGGCG
rnacentral:tRNA from 1 species